rnacentral:rRNA from 1 species
AUAGGUGGCAAGCGUUGUCCGGAGUUAUUGGGCGUAAAGCGCGCGCAGGCGGUUCUUUAAGUCUGAUGUGAAAGCCCACGGGCUCAACCGUGGAGGGUCAUUGGAAACUGGAGAACUUGAGUACAGAAGAGGAAAGCGGAAUUCCACGUGUAGCGGUGAAAUGCGUAGAGAUGUGGAGGAACACCAGUGGCGAAGGCGGCUUUCUGGUCUGUAACUGACGCUGAGGCGCGAAAGCGUGGGGAGCAAACAGGAUUAGAUACCCUGGUAGUCCACGCCGUAAACGAUGAGUGCUAAGUGUUAGGGGGUUUCCGCCCCUUAGUGCUGCAGCUAACGCAUUAAGCACUCCGCCUGGGGAGUACGGCCGCAAGGCUG